rnacentral:sRNA from 1 species
UAGAUGGCGUUACGCUUAUCGGCGUAACA